AUGUUUGAUGAAGAUGAUAUUUUUAGUCCCCCAAGUUUUGAUGAGAAAUUUUAUUAUGAUGAAAGCAUGCCUCCUAUCUAUGAUGAUUAUGGUGAUGACAUAUAUGCUAUAAAUAAUAAUGAUAACCAUGAAACUUUUCAUCAUGAUUUUAAUUUUCUAUCCCAUGAUAAUUAUUUUCUUGACUUUUCUCCCACUACUAUUCAUGAGAAUAAAUUUGCUUAUGUGGAGAGUAAUAAAAUUUCUAUUCUUGUGGAUCAUCUAAAGAAUGCUUUGUGUGAUAGUUAUAUUUUUGAAUUCAUUCAUGAUGCCACUGAAAUUUAUUAUGAGGGAGGAACAUAUGCUUGUAGGAAUUGA
rnacentral:rRNA from 1 species